AAACCAUAGAGCUUUUUUAAUAGUUUUGAAAGUUGAUUAAUACAUUCAGGGCAAAUUUGAUUUGAGUCCCCCCAUAAACUGUAAUGUUUUGGGUAGUCCCCAAAACAAUACAGUCACACAGCAACAGCAAUAAAGUAGCCUACUUGUGUUUUUGACUAACUGUUUACAAUAAAAGUGCAUGCCUAUAGCAGCAUGUCACAUAUCUAUCCCCAAAUAACCGAAACCAGAACUUAAAUGUUUAUGAAAAACACAUUCAAAGAGUAUAACUAACAUAAACAUGCCCUUUGGUCAAAAGGAAACUUAAGAGGAUGAAGCCAUCGAUGUUCUUUCACACCUGCACAUAUUUCACACCACUUUACGGAAACGUUCAACCUAAGAGUGCAUUUUUGUGUGGGAAGACAGUACACAUCUGAAGAGGCACUCAACAUAAUGUUCCACAAAAACAGAAAAGUUUCAUAAUCAUCAUACUUUAUGAUACAGACUCGACAAGUAUUAAAGGGGUGAGGUGAGGGCAGGAAGCACAAUAGCAAAAUGGACAUAUCGGAGUGCAGACAGUAGGCAGGAGUCUCAUCAAGUCUACUUUAGUAGGCCUUCUUCCAGAAGUUUACCAGCAUUGGUAGACCUACAACAAUCCCAGGCAUCUUAGGCUUGUAUAGUCAAAUGAGGUUGCAAUAAAGGGAUUUGGGAAGAUAAACAACCACCAGGCAAUAAUCUGUCAAGCUUUGGUUAUUCGUGGUCGCCUAUUUUUACGGAUGGAACAGGUGAGCCACGCAGGCGGACGUCCAACCAAAUAUCGCGAUAGUUCCAAGCACAUGGGACAAAACGCGAAGACAGGAAGCUUUAGUAUCAGGGUUCAGUGUACGUCUCAGUUCAAAGUUUCCAUUUUAAAGCCUCCCAAAUGCCAAUGUCUAUUCACACAUUUGCAUAUGGUUGUUGUGUUGUAAAUCACGACUCCGAGGGGAUUCGAACACAACCGUGUGUACCAGCAGUAAGCCCCACCAGGACCCCCCGACCCAGGCCGAGUCAUGCCCCGGAGAGGCGACCUGCGCCCCGGUCAGAACUGGCGGUUCCGGCUCCUGUCCGUGAUACAGGUUCAGGUCUGAAGGAGCAGGCAGGGGGCCAGGCUGUGUAUUGAUCCUUCUGCUGGGAGUAAAACAUCUAUAGCUGCUCCACGUCUAUCUGUGUCCAUGCUGGUAGCAGUUGAAGAGCCCCUGCAGUGUUGCACGUGGAGGGGAAGGGAACAAUGCAACUAACGGGGGUUAAGCUUUGAUUACAGCACGCGGGCACAAUAAGCAAACAUUCAGCCAGCACGCCAGGUGUGUGCGGUGUAACGCGCUGUCAUGGCGUGAAAUUCAAUACAGUUAUUCAAUAAAAAAGAGUCGAAAUGAAUGCAUUCUUUGGAAACUGUUCACUGUGUUCGUUGUUUAAUACAAUCGUUCAUAAACAGUUCCCAUAAUAAUAAUGUUCUAUGUUGGUGGUAAAUUGUGUCUUCUAAAAAAGUCCCAAAAGUGUUUUGUGAAUCUUCUAAACUCUGCGUUAGGAAUAAAAGUACUGUGUCCUCCGCAAUAAUAAACUUGUUUUUUCCCGUUAUUGUUUUUGACAUUCAGUGAUCUUGAAGUAUUACAAACCAC
ensembl:lncRNA